AAAGGUUACGAUGAGGAUAACAAGCUCCCUCUUCUGAAAUGAAGUUGAAGACAAAUGCUGGUAGAAUCGAACCUAAUACUCAAACGCCACUACCGAGUAA